rnacentral:misc_RNA from 1 species
UGGAAUGUUUUGAACCGAGCCAUUCUGAUAUAUAAUCUUAUUCUUCAAUGCAGGAGACCAUAAACCCAUCUCUGUUAAGUCGUGCAGGAGAUGCUUGUUCACAACAACAAAUUCACCACUUAGAACUCUACGACUGUAGAUGUUAGAAGUAUAUGGCUCAAAACACUCAUUGUUUCCAAGAAUCUGGCUAGUAGAAGCCGUAGGCAUUGGAGCCACAAGAAGUGAAUUUCUAACACCAUUUUUAGCUAUCUG